GACGAACGCUGGCGGCGUGCCUAAUACAUGCAAGUAGAACGCUGAAGGAGGAGCUUGCUUCUCUGGAUGAGUUGCAAACGGGUGAGUAACGCGUAGGUAACCUGCCUGGUAGCGGGGGAUAACUAUUGGAAACGAUAGCUAAUACCGCAUAAUAGCAGUUGUUGCAUGACAACUGUUUGAAAGGUGCAAUUGCACCACUACCAGAUGGACCUGCGUUGUAUUAGCUAGUUGGUGGGGUAACGGCUCACCAAGGCGACGAUACAUAGCCGACCUGAGAGGGUGGUCGGCCACACUGGGACUGAGACACGGCCCAGACUCCUACGGGAGGCAGCAGUAGGGAAUCUUCGGCAAUGGACGGAAGUCUGACCGAGCAACGCCGCGUGAGUGAAGAAGGUUUUCGGAUCGUAAAGCUCUGUUGUAAGAGAAGAACGAGUGUGAGAGUGGAAAGUUCACACUGUGACGGUAUCUUACCAGAAAGGGACGGCUAACUACGUG
rnacentral:rRNA from 1 species